rnacentral:rRNA from 1 species
GGAUUAGAUACCCUGGUAGUCCACGCCCUAAACGAUGGAUACUAGGCGUUGGGGGUAUCGACCCCUCCAGUGCCGCAGCUAACGCGAUAAGUAUCCCGCCUGGGGAGUACGGCCGCAAGGUUGAAACUCAAAUGAAUUGACGGGUCCCCGCACAAGCGGUGGAGCAUGUGGAUUAAUUCGAUACUAACCGAAGAACCUUACCUAGGUUUGACAUCGAGGGAAAGGCCGUGAAAGCGGUCCCCCGGCCUACAAGCCGGCCCGAAGACACCUGUUGCAUGGCCGUCGUCAGCUCGUGUUG